CUAGUUGUUGGGAAUUACUAUCAAAGAUUUACUAAGGGGUUCAAGAAUCUGAUCCACAUAUUCAACUUUCUUCCUCUGCAAAAAUAUCUUGAUACCCUCGUCACCAAAAGAAGAGGAGAUAACUAAAGAGACAAAUUAAGGAAAUUUAUUAAUCCCAUUUAGGUGUGGGAUUACUUGGACUUUUCAAGUCGCUUCUUGGUAUCCUCCGCAGCAUCAGCUGCUUCAACCUGCAUCUUUGCAGUCCGGAGAUCAGCUUCACUUGAUUCCUUCUCGUUUCUUGCACUCAUCUUCUUUGCCU